rnacentral:lncRNA from 1 species
CUCCUCAUCGGUGAGUACUUGAUCAUAAUCUAAGAAGGAGAUGUUGAGUCGGAUGGUGGAUAACCUCUACAAUACUUAUUCCCCACUCUCAAGUCCGAAGUGAUUUUAUUACUUCAAAUGAAGGAAAUAGUCAAUUACCAAACUAGUUCUUCGAUCACCGACCCAACCUUCUCUCUCCCAGAUAUUUAGUCGGUAGCACUUGUUGAAGAAAAUCCUAGGGCAUCAGUAACACAUCACUUCUUGAAUCUCACUACAUUUAUGAGGAAUGGGCAACUCAUGGCAUCGCAUCAUAAUGGCUCACAGAGGAAAAUAUAGAAGUCACUUUUGGGCCCAUUGUGAUUGCCCAUGUGUCGUAUGUUGGUAGGUCCACAUCAUGUCUUGUGGAUUAGCCUAUGCGGCUCGCUCUGGGAUUGGUGCGAUGAAGAAUCAUGUGAUUUGGUAUUUUCAAUGCAUGUCAGGUGUCAAAAUCUAAUGGCACGGGGCUUGAAUCUUGACUGUUAGUAGGUGGUGUAAGUAGGCCUUCUAUCAUUUUCCUCCCAUUUUGCUUUUGUCAUAUUUUUCUUUCCUGCACCAACUCUUCCCCUAUCAUUGCUUUCAAUAGAAAGACAGUCCUUGUUACUAUCAUCUUCCUUGAUGCUGGUGAUCUCCAAUUGUAGUCUCCAAUCGAUCCUCCUCCUUCCAUUAUAUUUCUCUCGCUUGUCCAUCGGCUUUUGCUUGGGUUCUUUAUCUUUUCUUUGGUUUGGUUUCCCCUUCUGCUUUUUUUCAUCCUUUCUGUCUUUUGCAUUCAAUAGCUUCUUCUUCUUCAUGUCUUCUAAUGAUGAUGAGGUCAAGGGUGAAAAUCUUCAUGGCAGUCAGAAUUCUCAGUCACCGCCUCCUCGAGCCAGGCUUGAGAGCACCUCUCGGACCACCGUCGAAACUGGCCCUUCAUCUAAAUGCCCAUCCCCCAUAUGGCGAUGUAUGGGUAGCCUC